UACGUAGGAUGCAAGCGUUAAUCGGAAUUACUGGGCGUAAAGAGUGCGUAGGCGGUUCUUGAAGUCCGCUGUGAAAGCCCCGGGCUUAACCUGGGAAUGGCAGUGGAAACGUGGGAGGACUUUGGAAUUGAGCAGAGGGGGGGUGGAAUGCCGCGUGUAGCAGUGAAAUGCGUAGAGAUGCGGCGGAACACCGAUGGCGAAGGCAGCCCCCUGGGCUAAAGUGAGCUGAGACGAAAGCGUGGGGAGCAAACAGG
rnacentral:rRNA from 1 species